rnacentral:rRNA from 1 species
UACGGGGGGGUGCGAGCGUUGUCCGGAAUCACUGGGCGUAAAGGGCGCGUAGGUGGUUUGAUAAGGGUGUGGUGAAAGUCCGGAGCUCAACUCCGGAUCUGCCGUGCCGACUGUCAAACUCGAGGGCUGUAGAGGCAGACGGAAUUCCGGGGUGUAGCGGUGGAAUGCGUAGAUAUCUGGAGGAACACCGGUGGCGAAGGCGGCAUCCUGGACCGGCAUUGACGCUGAGGCGCGAAAGCCAGGGGAGCAAAGCGGG